CAAUAGCGUAUAUUAAAGUUGUUGCAGUUAAAAAGCUCGUAGUUGGAUUUCUGGUGGGAGCGAUCGGUCUGGCGCUUAGCGCGAGUACUUGCAUCGUCUCCGGCCAUCCUUGGGGAGAGUCUGUCUGGCAUUCGGUUGUCGGGCAGAGGAUCCUCAUCGUUUACUGUGAAAAAAUUAGAGUGUUCAAAGCAGGCUUAUGCCGUUGAAUAUAUUAGCAUGGAAUAAUAAGAUAGGACUUUGGUACUAUUUUGUUGGUUUGCGCACCAAAGUAAUGAUUAAUAGGGACAGUUGGGGGUAUUCGUAUUCCGUUGUCAGAGGUGAAAUUCUUGGAUUUACGGAAGACGAACUACUGCGAAAGCAUUUACCAAGGAUGUUUUCAUUAA
rnacentral:rRNA from 1 species